rnacentral:tRNA from 1 species
GGAGAGAUGUCCGAGUGGCUGAAGGAGCACGCUUGGAAAGCGUGUAAACGUGUAAACGUUUCGUGGGUUCGAAUCCCACUCUCUCCG